AACCAGACUCCUACGGGAGGCAGCAGUGGGGAAUAUUGGGCAAUGGAGGAAACUCUUACCCAGCAAUGCCGCGUGAAUGAAGAAGGUCUUCGGAUUGUAAAGUUCUUUAAUUGGGGACGAAAAAAAUGACGGUACCCAAGGAAUAAGCCCCGGCUAACUACGUGCCAGCAGCCGCGGUAAUACGUAGGGGGCAAGCGUUAUCCGGAUUUACUGGGUGUAAAGGGAGCGUAGGCGGUUUAGCAAGUCAGAAGUGAAAGCCCGGGGCUCAACUCCGGGACUGCUUUUGAAACUGUUGAACUAGAUUGCAGGAGAGGUAAGUGGAAUUCCUAGUGUAGCGGUGAAAUGCGUAGAUAUUAGGAGGAACACCAGUGGCGAAGGCGGCUUACUGGACUGUAAAUGACGCUGAGGCUCGAAAGCGUGGGGAGCAAACAGGAUUAGAUACCCUUGUA
rnacentral:rRNA from 1 species